rnacentral:lncRNA from 1 species
UCUCACGCAGACGUCUUCAGCCUGCUUUCACUCUUCAAAACUAGCCGGAGGUCGGCGAGCAGCUCCUUUUCGGGAUGUGCUUUUUGUACGGCCAUGGAAACUGGACUAGCGGAAAGGCUACCUUUUGGCCAGCAAGCCAGGCCCCUUAGAAAGAGGCCCCAGUGGGGAGCCCGGCGCUCCUAAGGCCGUUUGGGAGUCCCCAGUUUUCCACUCGCUGACACGUUGCUUCUCUUAUCCCACCACCGCCGCCCCGGGCAAAGGCACUGCCUUGUCUGAAUGCGGGUCUGAGGCGCUUUCUGCGGAGCCUGGUCCUUUCCCUUCAAUGGUGAUGUGUGUGGUCUUGCUGAGCCAGGCAACUAGGGGGACCCUUCGCUGUGGAAAAAUUGGUGCUGCGGGAAAGGCAAGACUCACUCCCUUGCAGGAAACAAAGACCCCUUAGGAGAGAGAAAUGUUCAUGGAAUGAAUGAAUAAACAAGUUUGACC